UACGGGGGGGGCAAGCGUUGUUCGGAAUUACUGGGCGUAAAGGGCUCGUAGGCGGCCAACUAAGUCAGACGUGAAAUCCCUCGGCUUAACCGGGGAACUGCGUCUGGUACUGGAUGGCUUGAGUUUGGGAGAGGGAUGCGGAAUUCCAGGUGUAGCGGUGAAAUGCGUAGAUAUCUGGAGGAACACCGGUGGCGAAGGCGGCAUCCUGGACCAGCACUGACGCUGAGGAGCGAAAGCCAGGGGAGCAAACGGG
rnacentral:rRNA from 1 species